rnacentral:rRNA from 1 species
AGUGGGGAAUUUUGGACAAUGGGCGCAAGCCUGAUCCAGCCAUGCCGCGUGCAGGAUGAAGGCCCUCGGGUUGUAAACUGCUUUUGUACGGAACGAAAAGCCUCUUUCUAAUAAAGAGGGGUGAUGACGGUACCGUAAGAAUAAGCACCGGCUAACUACGUGCCAGCAGCCGCGGUAAUACGUAGGGUGCGAGCGUUAAUCGGAAUUACUGGGCGUAAAGCGUGCGCAGGCGGUCUUGCAAGACAGUGGUGAAAUCCCCGGGCUCAACCUGGGAACUGCCAUUGUGACUGCAAGGCUGGAGUACGGCAGAGGGGGAUGGAAUUCCGCGUGUAGCAGUGAAAUGCGUAGAUAUGCGGAGGAACACCGAUGGCGAAGGCAGUCCCCUGGGCCUGUACUGACGCUCAUGCACGAAAGCGUGGGGAGCAAA